GAUGAACGCUGGCGGCGUGCCUAAUACAUGCAAGUCGAGCGAACGGACGAGAAGCUUGCUUCUCUGAUGUUAGCGGCGGACGGGUGAGUAACACGUGGAUAACCUACCUAUAAGACUGGGAUAACUUCGGGAAACCGUUGCUAAUACCGGAUAAUAUUUUGAACCGCAUGGUUCAAAAGUUAAAGACGGUCUUGCUGUCACUUAUAGAUGUAUCCGCGCUGCAUUAGCUAGUUGGUAAGGUAACGGCUUACCAAGGCAACGAUGCAUAGCCGACCUGAGAGGGUGAUCGGCCACACUGGAACUGAGACACGGUCCAGACUCCUACGGGAGGCAGCAGUAGGGAAUCUUCCGCAAUGGGCGAAAGCCUGACGGAGCAACGCCGCGUGAGUGAUGAAGGUCUUCGGAUCGUAAAACUCUGUUAUUAGGGAAGAACAUAUGUGUAAGUAACUGUGCACAUCUUGACGGUACCUAAUCAGAAAGCCACGGCUAACUACGUG
rnacentral:rRNA from 1 species